rnacentral:rRNA from 1 species
UACGUAGGGGGCAAGCGUUGUCCGGAUUUAUUGGGCGUAAAGAGCGUGUAGGCGGCCAGGUAGGUCGGUUGUGAAAACUGGAGGCUCAACCUCCAGACGUCGACCGAAACCAUCUGGCUAGAGUCCGGAAGAGGAGAGUCGGAAUUCCUGGUGUAGCGGUGAAAUGCGCAGAUAUCAGGAAGAACACCCGUGGCGAAAGCGGCUCUCUGGGACGGUACUGACGCUGAGACGCGAAAGCGUGGGGAGCGAACAGG